AUUGAACGCUGGCGGCAGGCCUAACACAUGCAAGUCGAACGAGUGGCGGACGGGUGAGUAAUGUCUGGGAAACUGCCCGAUGGAGGGGGAUAACUACUGGAAACGGUAGCUAAUACCGCAUACCAUCGGAUGUGCCCAGAUGGGAUUAGCUAGUAGGUGGGGUAACGGCUAACCAAAGCGACGAUCCCUCGCUGGUCUGAGAGGAUGACCAGCAACCCUAGAAAUGAGACACGGUCCAGACGCCUACGGAAGGCAGCAGUGGGGAAUAUUGCACAAUGGGCGCAAGCCUGAUGCAGCCAUGCCGCGUGUAUGAAGAAGGCUUUCGGGUUGUAAAGUACUUUCAGCGAGGAGGCGUUACUCGCAGAAGAAGCACCGGCUAACUCCGUGCCAGCAGCCGCGGUAAUAC
rnacentral:rRNA from 1 species